AUGGAGUUUGGGCUGAGCUGGGUUUUCCUUGUUGCUAAUGUAAAAGGUGUCCAGUGUGAGGUGCAGCUGGUGGAGUCUUUGGGAGGCUUGUUAUAGCCUGGGGGUCCCUGAGACUUUCUUUUGCAGCCUCUGGAUUCACCUUUAGUACCUUUAUUAGGUACUGGAUGAGCUGGGUCCAUCAGGCUCCUGGGAAAGGGCUGGAGUAGGUCUCAUUUAUGAGUUGUUGUGUAGGUAGCACAAGCUAUGCAGACUCUGUGAAGGGUCGAUUCACCCUCUCCAGAGAUGAUGCCAAGAAAUCACUGUAUCUGCAAAUGAACAGCGUCAGAGCCGAGGAUAGGUCUGUGUAUUACUGUGGUGG